AUUGAACGCUGGCGGCAGGCCUAACACAUGCAAGUCGAGCGAGCGGCGGACGGGUGAGUAAUGUCUGGGAAACUGCCUGAUGGAGGGGGAUAACUACUGGAAACGGUAGCUAAUACCGCAUACCAUCAGAUGUGCCCAGAUGGGAUUAGCUUGUAGGUGGGGUAACGGCUCACCUAGGCGACGAUCCCUAGCUGGUCUGAGAGGAUGACCAGCCACACUGGAACUGAGACACGGUCCAGACUCCUACGGGAGGCAGCAGUGGGGAAUAUUGCACAAUGGGCGCAAGCCUGAUGCAGCCAUGCCGCGUGUGUGAAGAAGGCCUUCGGGUUGUAAAGCACUUUCAGCGGGGAGGCGUUACUCACAGAAGAAGCACCGGCUAACUCCGUGCCAGCAGCCGCGGUAAUAC
rnacentral:rRNA from 1 species